UGUUUGCACUUAGCGGGAAGGGUAAGAACCUUCGACUAAGGUUCGACUCAAGCGCCAGCGAGAGAACGUUGCCGCAGGCAACGGCCCGAGAGGGCGAGGAGCGAUAGCGACGAGUUAUCCUUCCUCCACCACCA
rnacentral:sRNA from 1 species